UAAUACAGAGGUGGCAAGCGUUGUUCGGAAUUACUGGGCGUAAAGGGCGCGUAGGCGGCCUUCUAAGUCGGACGUGAAAGCCCCAGGCUUAACCUGGGAACUGCGUCUGAUACUGGGAGGCUUGGAUUCGGGAGAGGGAUGUGGAAUUCCAGGUGUAGCGGUGAAAUGCGUAGAUAUCUGGAGGAACACCGGUGGCGAAGGCGGCAUCCUGGACCGAGAUCGACGCUGAGGCGCGAAAGCUAGGGGAGCAAACGGG
rnacentral:rRNA from 1 species